CACGUAGGGGCCAAGCGUUGUCCGGAUUCAUUGGGCGUAAAGAGCUCGUAGGCGGUUUGUCGCGUCUGCUGUGAAAUCUGGGGGCUCAACCCCCAGCCUGCAGUGGGUACGGGCAGACUAGAGUGCGGUAGGGGAGAUUGGAAUUCCUGGUGUAGCGGUGGAAUGCGCAGAUAUCAGGAGGAACACCGAUGGCGAAGGCAGAUCUCUGGGCCGUAACUGACGCUGAGGAGCGAAAGCAUGGGGAGCGAACAGG
rnacentral:rRNA from 1 species